GACGAACGCUGGCGGCGUGCCUAAUACAUGCAAGUCGAACGCUGAAGAGAGGAGCUUGCUCUUCUUGGAUGAGUUGCGAACGGGUGAGUAACGCGUAGGUAACCUGCCUUGUAGCGGGGGAUAACUAUUGGAAACGAUAGCUAAUACCGCAUAACAAUAGGUGACACAUGUCAUUUAUUUGAAAGGGGCAAUUGCUCCACUACAAGAUGGACCUGCGUUGUAUUAGCUAGUAGGUGAGGUAACGGCUCACCUAGGCGACGAUACAUAGCCGACCUGAGAGGGUGAUCGGCCACACUGGGACUGAGACACGGCCCAGACUCCUACGGGAGGCAGCAGUAGGGAAUCUUCGGCAAUGGGGGCAACCCUGACCGAGCAACGCCGCGUGAGUGAAGAAGGGUUUCGGAUCGUAAAGCUCUGUUGUAAGUCAAGAACGAGUGUGAGAGUGGAAAGUUCACACUGUGACGGUAGCUUACCAGAAAGGGACGGCUAACUACGUG
rnacentral:rRNA from 1 species